rnacentral:rRNA from 1 species
UUUAUGGAGAGUUUGAUCCUGGCUCAGAGUGAACGCUGGCGGCGUGCCUAAUACAUGCAAGUCGAACGAUGAAGCUUCUAGCUUGCUAGAAUGCUGAUUAGUGGCGCACGGGUGAGUAACGCAUAGGUCAUGUGCCUCUUAGUUUGGGAUAGCCAUUGGAAACGAUGAUUAAUACCAGAUACUCCCUACGGGGGAAAGAUUUAUCGCUAAGAGAUCAGCCUAUGUCCUAUCAGCUUGUUGGUAAGGUAAUGGCUUACCAAGGCUAUGACGGGUAUCCGGCCUGAGAGGGUGAACGGACACACUGGAACUGAGACACGGUCCAGACUCCUACGGGAGGCAGCAGUAGGGAAUAUUGCUCAAUGGGGGAAACCCUGAAGCAGCAACGCCGCGUGGAGGAUGAAGGUUUUAGGAUUGUAAACUCCUUUUGUUAGAGAAGAUAAUGACGGUAUCUAACGAAUAAGCACCGGCUAACUCCGUGCCAGCAGCCGCGGUAAUACGGAGGGUGCAAGCGUUACUCGGAAUCACUGGGCGUAAAGAGCGCGUAGGCGGGAUAGUCAGUCAGGUGUGAAAUCCUAUGGCUUAACCAUAGAACUGCAUUUGAAACUACUAUUCUAGAGUGUGGGAGAGGUAGGUGGAAUUCUUGGUGUAGGGGUAAAAUCCGUAGAGAUCAAGAGGAAUACUCAUUGCGAAGGCGACCUGCUGGAACAUUACUGACGCUGAUUGCGCGAAAGCGUGGGGAGCAAACAGGAUUAGAUACCCUGGUAGUCCACGCCCUAAACGAUGGAUGCUAGUUGUUGGAGGGCUUAGUCUCUCCAGUAAUGCAGCUAACGCAUUAAGCAUCCCGCCUGGGGAGUACGGUCGCAAGAUUAAAACUCAAAGGAAUAGACGGGGACCCGCACAAGCGGUGGAGCAUGUGGUUUAAUUCGAAGAUACACGAAGAACCUUACCUAGGCUUGACAUUGAGAGAAUCCGCUAGAAAUAGUGGAGUGUCUGGCUUGCCAGACCUUGAAAACAGGUGCUGCACGGCUGUCGUCAGCUCGUGUCGUGAGAUGUUGGGUUAAGUCCCGCAACGAGCGCAACCCCCUUUCUUAGUUGCUAACAGGUCAUGCUGAGAACUCUAAGGAUACUGCCUCCGUAAGGAGGAGGAAGGUGGGGACGACGUCAAGUCAUCAUGGCCCUUACGCCUAGGGCUACACACGUGCUACAAUGGGGUGCACAAAGAGAAGCAAUACUGCGAAGUGGAGCCAAUCUUCAAAACGCCUCUCAGUUCGGAUUGUAGGCUGCAACUCGCCUGCAUGAAGCUGGAAUCGCUAGUAAUCGCAAAUCAGCCAUGUUGCGGUGAAUACGUUCCCGGGUCUUGUACUCACCGCCCGUCACACCAUGGGAGUUGUGUUUGCCUUAAGUCAGGAUGCUAAAUUGGCUACUGCCCACGGCACACACAGCGACUGGGGUGAAGUCGUAACAAGGUAACCGUAGGUGAACCUGCGGUUGGAUCACCUCCUUUCUAGA